UGAGUGCCUUCAAUACGACAAUGAUGAGAGUGAUGAUGAGAAUAAUGAAAUAAACAGCCUGGAAAACAAGGAAGAAUUAAUACAGUCGCCUGGCCAUAAUCGGUUAGGCUUUUGCUAAGAUUUUGCUCCAGCGUUGACCCAAAUAGUCAACCACCAGUUGUCCAACGUAGCUCCAAAAAUCAGAAGCGCAAACAACGUUAGACACGUUAUAGCAGCACACCAUCUAAAAAGAAAAUGUGAAAAAACACGCACAUUUCUGUCUACAGAAGAAUUCUUCCAAGGUUGGGAAACGUUCUGAUAGAACAGAAAUAAUGGCCUGGAUGAGAGAGGUUUAUUUUUUCGUCAACCAAAAUUAAAUAUCAGUCAUCGUCAUGAUAAAAAUAUUAAAAAGUAGUAAAUUAGUUUGGUAUAGACAGGUGAACAAUACUGGUUAGAGACCUGGCCCGAUCAGGUUUAUAUACCUUGUCCGCAGUGGUGGGAUUCAAAUUUUUUGUCGACCGGUUCCUUCACAAAAGUUAUAUAUUUCAGCCGGUUCUGUUACAAACAGAACAUUGACAGUAACCAGUAAUGCUAACCGGUUCGCUGAUCUUGUAAAAUUCCGUGAGACGGUUCUAUAGAACCGGUGCGAACCUGCUGAAUCCCACCACUGCUUGUCCGCAAUAUUCAUAGCAUGAAGUAUGUU